CUACGUGCCAGCAGCCGCGGUAAUACGUAGGUGGCAAGCGUUGUCCGGAAUUAUUGGGCGUAAAGCGCGCGCAGGCGGAUUGGUCAGUCUGUCUUAAAAGUUCGGGGCUUAACCCCGUGAUGGGAUGGAAACUGCCAAUCUAGAGUAUCGGAGAGGAAAGUGGAAUUCCUAGUGUAGCGGUGAAAUGCGUAGAUAUUAGGAAGAACACCAGUGGCGAAGGCGACUUUCUGGACGAAAACUGACGCUGAGGCGCGAAAGCCAGGGGAGCAAACGGGAUUAGAUACCCCGGUAGUCCUGGCCGUAAACGAUGGGUACUAGGUGUAGGAGGUAUCGACCCCUUCUGUGCCGGAGUUAACGCAAUAAGUACCCCGCCUGGGGAGUACGACCGCAAGGUUGAAACUCAAAGGAAUUGACGGGGGCCCGCACAAGCGGUGGAGUAUGUGGUUUAAUUCGACGCAACGCGAAGAACCUUACCAGGUCUUGACAU
rnacentral:rRNA from 1 species